CUCUGCGGUCCUGAGCAGUUAAAAUGAUGUUAGAAAAAUCCCAACUAAUAACUUUAGUGUGGCAGGUGCCAGCAAAGAAACAACCGACCGCAUGCGACGCUCUGGUGCUUCAGAUAUCGGUCUUUUAUGCUAGUCCCGUCGCGUGCUCAUUGUAAAAAUCGGCUUUGUGUGGCGCUUUUUAAAAAACGGGGACAUCUGGCGACAUAUUCUGUGUCCCCAGGGUUCGGGGUUUUUUGUUUUUUUUUAAUGGGGGUUUUCUUUUACAGUUAACGUGAUCUAACACAGCGACAGCGUGAACAAGCCAUAUUUGGACAUAUCAACGCUGUUUCUAUAACACUUUGGCACGCGCGCGUCUGUGAUUGGUCGUUGGGGGGAGUUCUAGAAUAAUAAGAACGUCGAACGCCAAAUUACAGCUACAAAGGAUUUAAAAAAUAAUAAGAUGUCACUUCUAAUGUAUAACUUGUCUUUAGGGCUUUAUCAGCGGAUCUCCACUGCCGAGACUAGUUUGGGCUCCCUGAUACCCACUGCCAGAAGAUUGACCACCCCGGUGAGCCUCAAGAAGCUUGUAUCUCAAUCCUGCUGAUAGCAACAAACACAUACACCACUGCUGUCUUCUCCCAAGCAGAUGGACUGCUCUCUCUCUCUCGAGGAGCUACGGUUACAAUGAAACUGUUUCCUGAUGAGUGAGAGCAUCUGAUUACUGCUGCAAACAUCCAGUUUCAUGAGUUUCAUGACGUAAAUACAGAUUUCACUGAGUUUUGUUUAAACCACUUUAGGCGCACAUGGUGGACGUCCCACUUAUCUGUACUCAUCUGUGUUGGCUUUCUCUCACAUUCAUACUGACCCUCGCCCCUCUAGGUGUUGUAGGUCCAGAACCCCUAAGCCAUAAAUCCUAUUAGUCAAGGAUUCUCUGAAGCAUUAUAAGUCGUUUUCCCAUCUUUCGUUGAUUGCAUUAUCAUUCGCUACCUGAGAGAAAUCAGCCCCCUCUGUGUAGUUUUUUCUUUUCUCUCUAUAUAAUUUAUAUGUCAGAGAUACAGGGCUGCAAAUGUAUUAAUGUAAACAAAAAAACACUCCAUUGGAAUCCUAACAAAAACUCCAGCAGUUUAUAACAACUGUCUUUUAAUGCCGCCAGUACUGUGUAGUUAAAAACAUUUGCAAUUUUCUGGAAAUAAUCUGUUAAAUUAAAAUUGAUUAUUCAUCCUCUGUGAGAAAGUAUGUGCCUAAAACCCCACUCUUUCUCAGUUGUGUCGCCUCUCUCACCGCCACCUCAAACUCAUGUGUUAUGGUAAAUUGAACGUGGCAGGGCCAGCCCUAUAGACGGAAGUUCAGACCCCUCGGUCGGAGGUUGUGUCACUCUCUGGGUGAGGGGGAAGUGUGUAAUCUGAGUCACAAUCAGCAUUAUGUGCUGUUUCACACACUGUUACAAUGCAUGUUUCAUCCGGUGCAUCUGCCUUUCUGUAUUCUAUCAUUUUUUGCCUUAAACUGUGGACCAACUUUUAGUAGUCUAUAAUGUUAUGAACAUGAUAAGACACCUUUGAUCAAAGAAAAGGAAAGGUAUAGUACAGCGGGGCAAAGGUUAAGUGUAACAGUGGUAAUUCUGUGCAAAGAAAGCAUUAAUUAACUCUCUUUUCCUCUUAUCCUGGAGCCCAGCGCCUGAAGGUUAGGUCUCCAGGUUAAGCAUAGUAUUAUCUUCAUACACUGGCUUCUAGAGCAAUGCCCUCUCUUUCAUCUUUGCUGCUGAUGCACAACUGAUCUUGAUUGCAUAACGGAACAGUGUCACAGGUGUGUCAAAGUGCUGAACUUUAAAACAGACAAACGUGUUUUUCUGUACAGCUUUCCCAGACAUUAGGUGACUGUUGCGUCAGCAGGCUUUCCUUUGUGAGAUUAUUUUUUUUACAUGUGAGUAUAAGUGGGAACUUUUCCGCUGAGAGUGAGCCAGUUCAUGACUCAUAUAAUUAGCCAAAGAAAAACUCCAGCAAGAGUCGAUGCAUUCUGUAUACCAAGUUUAAAGUGGCUUUGUUAAAUUAAAUCCAAAAUGUAUGUCCUAAUUAUAAUUUUGCAUUGCAUUUAAAAUAUGUGAAUGAACAUUUUGACAUGCCUCUGUUGUACUCCCUGUCACAGUAAAUUGAAGAACUUCCACAGAGCCGCAGGGCAAAAGCUUGGUAUGCCGGGCCUUUUGUUGGUAAGAGGGUUUUUUCUGCAUGCCAGGCAGAGCAAUCCAGCCAGCCCACGGGGGUCAGCAGAGGAGGGAGGAGUUUUGAUUAUGAUCAUUAUUUGGGUUUCGGCUUCGGCUGCCAUGUGCUAGUCUGCCUGGGCCUGGCACUUCUUACUUGCAGGUGGGGGCUCAUCUCUCAUUGCCAAGUGGAUGGAGUGAAUUAAGAGCACCUACUGUACCUUGCGUCCAGCCUCGUUAUUAUGGAGGUUCAUGGCUGCCCGUGCAUCCUGACCAGUCUCCAAGGCAUCCACAAACU